UACGUAGGGUGCAAGCGUUGUCCGGAAUUAUUGGGCGUAAAGGGCUCGUAGGCGGUCUGUCGCGUCGGGAGUGAAAACUCAGGGCUUAACCCUGAGCCUGCUUCCGAUACGGGCAGACUAGAGGUAUGCAGGGGAGAACGGAAUUCCUGGUGUAGCGGUGAAAUGCGCAGAUAUCAGGAGGAACACCGAUGGCGAAGGCAGGUCUCUGGGCCGAUACUGACGCUGAGGAGCGAAAGCGUGGGGAGCGAACAGG
rnacentral:rRNA from 1 species